UUCCACUAGAUUUGAUUGUGAGUUCCUGCU
rnacentral:piRNA from 1 species